AAUUUGUAUUCUAACUAGAACAGAAUGUAAAACCUCAUUGGAGUAAUUCACUUAAGCCCACAAUAAAGACUAUUUUGUUGGAGAAGUAAUGCACUGUGAUACUGUAGGCUGCAUAUUCUGAGGGUUAGCGUUGUUUUUGAUGAAUAGAUUCCAUCCAUCCAUUUUCUAUAGCGCUCGUCCUCAUUAGGUGCACGGGUGAGCUGGAGCCGACUUUAGCCAAGAGAUGGUGCACACCCUGGACUGGUUGCCAGCCCAUCACAGUGAUCAAUAGAUUAUAUGAAUAUAUUAUACCCAAAUGCGAAUAGUUUUCAAGUUAUACAAAAAUACAGGAGUAUUUUGGGCAGCAUAAUUUUCUGUAAAAAUAAUGUAUUUCUUAUUCUCAUUCUCAAAGUCAUUUUCAGUCUACUUCAGCUAAAACCCAAUGUAAAACCCUAAGUGGAGUAAAUCACAGUGAUGAGGGACUAAAAUCUUUUCACUUUACCGUCAGUUGAUUCCUUUUUUAAGUUUUUAUUUUGGUGGCAUUAUUGCUACUGUUCGGAUGUGAUGCGAUCAAAUACAGUUGUGUAAUAGAGAGUGUCACAUUUAGAGAAAUUUCUUCCUACAUUCUGAUGACUUCAUGUUGCAGUAUGACAUCACAAGUAUUUAUUUCCUUAUGUUUGCAUAAGCAUUUAUCAGUGGACAUUUUCAGCUUACACUCCUGCAAAAUUAAUGAUGAAUGGGCUUUUAGUUAUUUAUAAAUGCUGCGUCUGAAAAGUAUUCACAGGGCUUUACUUUUUCCGCAUUUUGCUAUUAUAGCUUUAUUCCAAAAUGGAAUAAAUAUUUUUUCCUUUAAAAUUAUUUCCUUCAAAAGAAUGUCUUUUUGUUUUUGUUUUUUGCAAAUGUAUAAAGAAUUCGGGGGGAAAAAACUUCAUAUAUGAAUUUCAUAGCCUUUGCACAAUACUUUGGUUUAUGCACAUUUGGCAGCAAUAGCAGCCUUAACACUAACUAGAAUGUCACAAAUUUGGAAGUUUUGACCCUUCCACUUUGCAGCACCUCUCGAGCGCUAUCAGAUUGGAUGGGGAGCAUCCAUGCACAACCAUUUCCAGAGCUCUCAAGAGAUGCUUAAAAAAAUGAUCUAUUCAUUUUGGAACAUGGCAGUAAGACAACAAAAUGUGGAUAAAGUGCUGUGAAAACUUUCCAUAUGCUCCGUAACUAAUAAGCACCUGACUUGUCUACAUUGUGUGGUUCCUACAGUAAAUCGGAGUCUUACUUUGAAACAGACAUGGUGAUGCAAUGGAUGGCAGCCAGGACAGAAAUAUCCUGUCACCUAUGUCGCCACUGAUGCAAAGCCGGUGGCAGAAAUGACACAUUAUAAAGGCCUUUCAAAAGCUGUAAAGGUAAGAGAGGUGGUCAGCCAGACAGCUUGAAUAGAGUCUGUCCAAUAAUUCAAUUCGGAGUUCUCUGUGGGUCACAACCGGAUUAUUUAAACAAAACAAAAAAACACCUCCACAAGAAUGAAAUGUAAGUUCAGAAACGAUUUUUCAUUUCACUCUUUUUUUUUUUUUUUUUAUCUGAGAAUUGAAAAGGAGCAGACUCUGAGUGGGAGGUUAUAACCUGAAGAUUCAAAUUUCCAAUUUUCACUGACUUUAUGUUGCAUGUACAGUGGAUGGAUUGCAAGUUCUGAGUUGUUUCCAAAGCCCCCCUGCAGCAUUCCGAUUCUCAAUUUUUGCCUUCCCCUCCCCUAGUCACACCUAUUACACUGACAGUAUGCUGUUAUUCUCUUGUGCUUUUGUAUCGAGUUGUGUUACACAUGUAAGAACUCACUCCAGGUGUCUCUCUCACACCCCUCUGUACAACACAAUGCACCACAAACUACAACCUGCAUUCGUAUAUACAAAAAAAAGUGCGGUAUAUUAUCAAAUUUUUUUUCAACCUGAUUGAAUGCCCUCAUUUUAUUUUUUAUGUUAUUCCUAGUCUUUGAUUUUUACGCCUGACAAUUGAGACGGCUGGAUUUCUCUUUAGUAUUCGAUAUGUACAUGAGCUUUGCUCUGAUUGGAUCACUGUUCUUCUUAAUUUAAAUAUGAAAAACAGCUUUGCUCUGAUUGGUCCUUUGCGAUAUCACGGCAUCUUGUGGCUUGUGGUGGUCAAUGGUUCAUAGCGACGUCGCGUUUGGAUCCUUUAUGUGGUCUCCUAGUAUCAUUGUGAAGCAGAAUUCGCCAAGCGUUGGAUUGUUGGCCCACUAACAGGGAAUGUGAGCUGAAAGGGGGUGUGGGUGCAAAUAAAAAGAGAGGGGGAUAUUUUGAGGUUGGGCUCGUCUUCAGCUCCCAUUCACUUAAAAAUAACCGGAGCACGACGUUCAACGCUCGCAUACAUUUUGGCGACAAUGACAGCAUGAUUUGCUUUUUGGAUAUUCUUCCGCAUGCAUCACAAAAUAGUUGACAGGAAUUUUGGCCCAUUCUUCCUGACAGAACAGGUGUAACCAAGCCAGGUUUGUAGGCCGCCUUGCUCGCACAUGCCUUUACAGGUCUGCCAAUAAAUGUUCAAAAGGAUUGAGAUCAGGGCUUUGCAACGGCCACAGCAAAAAAUCCACUUUGUUAUCCUUACGCCACUUUGUAACCAGUUUGGCAUUAUGUUAUUGGGUCAUUGUCACUUUGGAAAAGCCAGUUGCAUCCAAGCUUUAACUUCUUGGGUGAUGUCUUGAGCUGUUGCUUCAGUGUUUCCGAGAUAAUGUUAUUUGCUCAUCUAUUUCGUACCAGGCCCUCCUGCAACAAACAACACCACAACAUGCUGCUGCCACCCCUAUAUUUCAAAGUUGGGAUGCUGUCUCAUGCUUACAAGCUUCCCUCUUUUUGCUUCAAACAUAACGAUGCUCAUUAUGACCACACAGUUCAACUUUAGUGUCGUCAGACCACAGGACAUAUCUCCAAAAAUGAAGGUUACUGUCCCUGUGUGCAUUUGCAAACUUUAAUCUGUCUUUUUCUGCACGGUUUCUUUUAGAGUAAUGGCUUCUUCCUAGCAGAUUGCCCUUUCAGCCCAUGUCGGUACAGUACUUAUUUCACUGUGGCGAAUGGCACACACUUACCAGCUUCAGGCAGCAUCUUCCCAAGGUUUUUUGCUUUUGUUCUUGGAUUGAUAUACACAUUUUGGACCAGAUAACCCAUCUCCUUCCUGAGCUGUAUGCUAGCUGGGCAUUCUCACAGUAUGUAUACUUGUAUUUAAUUGUUUGAACAGAUUAACGUGGUACCUUCUUCCUGAUAUCUUGGCUGAUUUUGUUUGACUUGCCCAGCGAUGUUACACAAAGAAGUUGAACCUGUGUUUCAGGUAUGCCUAUUUCAGUACAUCCACAGGUGUGUGUCUAAUUAACUCAAAUGUUGUUAAUAAACCUGUCAAAAGCGUUCAAAGAUAUAACAUCGCCAUCUGGCUUUUCACAAAUAGUUUAAAGGCAUAGUAAUCUUACUCUAUGUAAAUUUAUGACUUUGAAGAAAGUAAUGAAACAUUUCCUGAUAAAAUCCUCUCAUUAUUCUGGCAUUUAGCUAGUAGAAAUAAUUUUGGACCGCGAAUACAGAAAAUCCGCAGCUAAUUGACCCCCAAUAUAAUUGCACUGAAAAGUUUUCAUUUAUGUAUUUUUAAACCCCCAAAAUUCUUGAAUCUGCGGUGCUCAACUGCCAAUGAGCUUUUGGGGGGUUGUGUGCCGCCUUAAAAAUAAACAAAACAAAAAACAAAAGCAUAUUUUAAAAUUUGAUUACAGUGUAAAUCUGUUGGCUAUGCAUGAGGAAGAACGUAAUUACAUGACCAUUGCAUUGAGAUUGCAUAUCAACAAGAUAGUCUCAGGCAUUAUUGCCGUCCCGGGUUAUUCACAGCACACAGCCCUCAUCAAUACUGUACAGUAUUUCUAUACAUUUUAUGCUUGCAUUUUUGUGUUCCUCAAAUAUGAUUAAAGUAUGUUUUGAAAGGUGUUCAUGAGUAAGUUUAAAUGUGUUUAACGCCUGUGUGAUGGGUAAAACAAUUAUUAUUAUUUUUUUUUAUUAUUUGUCUCUCUACAUCGCAGCAGAUAUUCAUUCACCUGCUGCGACUGGGUCUGGAGUCAGUAACCAUAAUCUGCAUCCGAAUGGAGUGUUGCAUGGCAGAUUGAGAUGGAGUGGAGCUGACAGGUGCACAGUCUUCCUCCAUAUCUGGCUCAAAGGAUAAGCUUGUGAACAUGCACGCUGAAGUAACACGCCCCCCAGCCUCCACUCAUUUUGGGUCUGGAUAAAGGGGAGGUCAAAGCAGCCAGAUUUCUAAUGUUCGUUGGUUGGUGUGUUUGCGUGUGUCUCGUGGUGGAAACCCUGUAGCCGCUCUUCAGUGGACCAAGAAUGGGGAGACUGUCCAAGAUGUGGGAAGAUGACAUAACUGACCAGCAGUACCCUCUACCAGAGGGUUACGCCUGCAGACAACCAGCCAGUGCUGCCUUGUGAAGGCCUCAACACGGUAGUUGAACCCGCAAAGCUGACAUGGCACGGUCAUCGAAGGCCAAGAAUUGAGUUUGAGGUGAACCUUCGGUACCCUCAGCCCAAGUCUCUGAAUUUGGAUGGAUCGUAUACUUCCUCCUAAAGAUACUUCAGGCAAUUCUACGCUUGCAACUUUGUGGGGGAAACGUUUUGGAACCACCAGCCAUAAGAAAAGGACCUCUUCUAAGACGCCCCAGCAAAAUCGUUGUGACCAUGAGCGUUGGACCUGCAUUGACUCAGCAGCUGAUUCCAUAAAGGGGGGAAAUGGUGGCAUGUCCAGCAUGGCCCAUUAGGCCUCCCAGGAGGAGGGCAGGCUAAUGCUAACGUGUGAGUUGUUCAAAGGCAUCCGCUUCUCCAAGACCUACAGCAACACACCCAAGUGUCUACUACCCACCGGAGUUCAGCCCGACCAGCGCACACAGGUCCAGGUGGUGGAGGAUGACAUGGCAACCAUCCCACUGCUCAUCACUGCCAACGCAGAGGAGGUCUCCUGCGUUUGGUUGCAGGGCAGGGAGAAGCAGGUCAAAGAUGCUCCCAGUGUUAAAGCGAAAUGAGGCCUUUUGUUAUCAACUGCUGGGGAAACGGAUGACCUGAAAUCCGUGAUGGAUGCCAACCCCAUCGCGACCGACUUCACGUGGAAAUGGCCGGGAGAAGAGGAGGUGCAGAUGGGAGAGGAGACCCAGGAAGACGAAUCAGACCUUCUCACCAUCUGUAAUGUGACUUGGGCUCAUGCUGGAAUUCACCAGUGCACAGUCUGUAAUGUCAUUGGACCCUCUGGCAGCGUCGUGGCGUCGAAAAGGCAGCAGGAAAGUAAUGUGAAAGACGAGGGCUGAGUGGAGGACCUGGACUGAGGCAAACAUGCAAUCUACAGUCGAAGUCAAAUGGCAUCGAGGUCAAACAAUUUGGAGACCAAAAUUUGAGGGGGAAAGCAAGUCUCUGAAGUCACAUGGAACUCUGGUGUUCCAUCAGUUGAGCAAGAAUCAAAGGAUUAACUGAACUCCUGUGUUCUGCUUUUUCUUUGACUUUUUACGACACCUAGUCCCCCAAAAAGUAGUAACCACAACUAGAGGUGUUAAGAGAAGAAGGAUGUGAGAAAAGAAGAAAAAGAAUAUCGUCGAACCUCAAAGACACAAUACGUUCCUUGACGCUGGACUUCAAAGUUCUUCGAGUCCAGCUAAAAUUGUUGUGUAACGCAAACGUACAAUACUUAAAAGCAACCAUUUGCUUGGUAGAAUUAUUGCAUGCACGUAUUACUCCUUAGCAUUCCUUUAUCACAAAUAGUGAUAUCUUCUGAUCUAUGGUUAUGGUCACAGAUGUCAUCUUUGUCAUCACUAUUACGACUACUGCGAUAUUUAGAUGCUCACUGAUCUAAAGUCUUGUGAGACUAGCUCGCAUCACGCAUGGUAUUAUAUUUUUCCAGUAGGUUUUGGUUCAGGUUUCACUGCAUUGCCAUCAUUUACCAUGGAAAUAUCCAUAAAAAUCAGAGGUCAACCAACCAGGAACGCAUUCUGUUAAAUGUUAACAUGGUUCCGCUGUAUUAGAUCUCUUACCUAAAACACAAAGUUCCAAAGAACAUAUCCACAUGAGGCUUUUUAUGUAAAGACAUUUCUCCGUGCAAGAUAAAAAUGUGUUCUGCAUUUUUUGGUUUGUUUGGGAUCAAGACUAGUGUGAGAAUCUCCAUGCAGGUCCAGUCGUUCAACUGUCAGCCAGCCAAAUAAGUUUGCAAGCAGAGAGAAGCUCAACGCCACAGCCCAGCGCACCCUCCUCGUUGACAUCAGACAGAGGCAGAAACAUCUAGCAGAGCUACGCUGCAGUAAGAGCAAGAGAAGAGAGGAAAGGAGGGGAUGGGGAGGGAUGACGGGCGCAGGAGGCAAUUUAGAAAAUAUGCAGAGGUGCAGAAAGGGCUGAGUGAACAGAUGAGUGGAGGAAAAAGGUGUGGUUGAGGGGUGACGCUAUCCUGCAGUGGAGAAUCCAUCUAUACUGGGGGGAAAUGGAUAGCUACACUAAUGACACCUUUAGUUGUUCACGCUGAUGGAACACAGAUCAAUAAUUCGCAGUUAGCAUUCAAAAAAUGCAUUGAUUUCUAAGGAUUGAUCAUUUUCUAUAUCCAAUAAGCCAGCAUGAAUGUUUUCACAGCUAAAUCCUCUACAACUGAGUGCUCUUAAAAAUUAUUCAAAUGACUUUGAAAAGUUCAUUUGAAACAAGAGCACAGCCAUUGUGAUUAAUACACAAACUUGAUUAGUCUAUUGAGCUUACUGUUCAGGGUGUGCAAAAGUUGAAUCAAUAAAAACAAGUUACCCCCGAGACAAAAACAACAACAACAAAAAUAUAUACAUUUGUGUUAUUUGGGAGAAAUCUAUAAGACAGCUGGAAUGGUCAUUCAUACAGGGUCACUUUGGGUCAGAGAUAUUGUGAUGCUAUCGCAUGCUUUUGUUUCCCUAAUUUCAGGAAAGUUCCCUUUAUUGUUACCGCGCCGGAGACGAGACGGUACCGCUGAGCGCACAUCCUGAGGAAACCGUGUAACAAGGAAAAGGCCAACUUUGUGUUGGGAUAACAGAAGUGUCGUGUCGGAUUAGUACAUGGAACUUGCGGUUUUCUUCAAGGAUAAGAUGAAACCUUCCGACGAGAGUAAUCAAUGCGGAGACAUCCCGCAUAGAUUCAUCCACACUGAAUAAAAGAUUUUAGCUGGUCCCGAUCCUUCACUUGACCAUCUGGGACAGGAUUGAGGGACAAGAGAGAGCGUCCCAACGUUUGGGGACUCACACUCCUCAGCCUCCCUGGGACAGCCUGAUGGAGAAGAAAGAGAAAGCCAGGAAUGUGUGGUUUGGAGAGCGACAUCACACUGGAUUCGCUGCUGAACUGGGAAUGUUUUUGCACCCCCUCUGAGCGAACCUGAGGAGGUGGCUGGAGAAAAGAAUCUUUUUCACACAGUUUCCAUGAAAUUGGCAUUAGAGCUGGAUACGUAGAGUCAGCAUUUAUCAGCCUGUGUCUUUCACACACAACCAAUCAAGCUGAAUGUGCGCACAUUCGUACAGCCAACACAGAAUCACACAUUCAGAUAAUCAGAUGCCUGAUGACGUCAGUGCCAGCGCCUGGUGUGACAUAGAGUAUAUAGCUGUGAUUGAAAUUGUGCAAUUUUACUGAAUUUGUCUGGAAAUUAUAUUUAAUAAUUACAAAUGUAUCUAUGCCAGUGACGUAUAGUGACAGGCAGAACACAGGCCAAGAUUUCAGACAGAGUCCCUGCAAGUGUAGUAAACUGAGUAAACUGAAUCAAUGUCAUCAUUGUUUCAGUGUCAUACUUUUUGUGACAGUUUUGUUUAGUGGUGUGUUUUUGUAAAAUGGUAACCUUGGCUGAAUAAAGGCUGGGAAACGUUCAUUAAGUAAUUGUUAAAAAAAAAAAAAAAAGCACGAAUGACUUCAAACACAACAAGACUGGAGCCCAACCAACGAACUGAGACAAAGACCGAACACCCCGUACCCAGAAAAGCAAUCUGGUGUAUGCGGUCAAGUGUAGUGAGGAAUGCACAGAUACAUACAUUGGGGAAACCGAACAACCACUGAGCAGACACAUGGCACAACACAGACAGGCAAACUUGUCAGGUCAUAUUUUUGGACAGGGAAGGCAGUUGUUUUGAACGACCAUCUCUUAAAGAGGAGGUGGCUUCCGACACCAUCUAUCUCCCACUUACACUGCCGUCCUUUCGUCCAUCCCAAAAAACGCAAUAAUUCUGCUUCCAACAAAUAACGCAAAAACGCUGCCUCCUUGGCUGUUUAGGCAGCUCCACUGUCACUUUAGAACUGAAUGGAAUAUUAAUAAGGGAGCUCCCACCUAAAAACUCUUGUGGACGGACAGCGGCUUCUUGCCACUCGUCUUUUUUGCAUUCCAAAAGAAUGAUACCAUCCAUUGAAAUUCUCCACGCCAACUCAGGCUAGUCUGGCCUAACUAAGCCUUGUUGCAUGAACUGAUGAAGCCUGCUCGGAUGAGAGGCAAGACGUCUUCAAAGACAACCAGAACAGUCUAGUAGCGAUCGAUUCAAUUCCCUGAAAAUCAAAUGACCUGAAUGAAUGAGAAUAUUCACAGGCAAGACAGGAGAAGUGAGUCUCAAACUUCGCACCCCUGUUCAACACUGCCCUGCAGUUUUUAUGCCUCUGAUACGACCACCUACUGUACUACUUCUCAACGUGCCUUUUUUUUUUUUUUUUACUGUGUCAUUGCUUUGCCGGUCUGUAUGAAAUCACAGAGUUAACUGUGUUACCUCAUAUUAGGCUUUCAAGAAGUAAAGCUGUGGCGGCCUGUGCAUUUGGUACCUGGGCCUUCAUUGGGGAUUUAAUUUGAUGAAUUUGAUUUGAUUUAAUACCAAACGCUAUCACACUGCAAUCAUAGAAAGCAUCGAUACUAUUCAAAAUUGCAAUAUAACAGCACGCAAUCUUCAGGAGCAGUUUGGAAUCGAUACUCAUUCCAAAUGCUUCCUUACCCACUAAAGGGUUAAACUUGACACAUCAGUAAAUCCUUUUUACCAUUUCAGCUGGAACACGGACAAACGAGCAAACAGUCCGUGUGUGUCACUUAGUAUUUGUGUCAUUUUUUGACUUCCUUUUGGCUUGUUUAGUUGCCUUUUGCUUUGCACAGUACACAGACAAAGCGAUCAGGCUCACAUUUGUCCGCGCAGGGCCAUUAUAUUUCAGCCUCUGGCUUCUGCUUUUCCCUCCAGCACAAUUCGUCACAUCAGUCACAUGAGCAAACACAUGCAGACAGCCGAGACAAUAUGCUGGAUUGGGAAAUGUCUAUCUUUCAAAUUCUUCCACAUCAAUCAGUUUGCUUAUUUUGCUUUUUUUUCUUCUUCUUGCCAUUAUUGUUGAACUAAGACGUCAUUUUCAAUUGAUUUUUUUUUUUUUAUUAUAUAAUGUGUGGCCAUCAUAGUUUUUCCUUGUCAUUAUCCGACAGGAACCUGCAUGCCACCCUAAAAGAUGAAUCUCCCUUGUUCCCCUCAGAUACAUUUUCUCAGUUGGCUCACUGCUCUCCAUCAUGAACUGUCAACGCACAUUUUGCCUCGUUACUGAACGUUUGUUUAAGUUCAAGCCGCCUGUGCCGCUGAACGCAUGGCAAGUCUAAAUGCAUCAUCAGCAACAGUCAUGGGCUAAACUGAAGGCUUGACACCUCAAUACUCUGUUUCAACGUCUACGUUUCAUUUGUGCCACGUGCACAUUUUUUAUAUGCCGCCUUGUGAAGACUCUCCCGGGAGUUUGAACAUACAAGAGAACACAAUUAAGAAAAAAAAGAGGAACAAAUCAUAACCAUGGCUUCGAGCCUGUUUUCACAUCCUUCCUCAUGCUUUCCUGAGUGCUCUUCUGAAGAAACAAAUGUAAGCCAAGAGUGAAAAUUGACGAUGGCUUUAACAGACUGCUUCACAUUUCCGGCAAAUAUUUUACAUUAGAAAAAUCCUUAGUGUGAAAUUUGUACCUAUUUACAAAACACAAAGCUAUUAUUUUGUUGUAUGUCAAUCCACAGGUUAAUUGUAUCUUCUACAAUCUAAUGGAUGAACAUUUAAUUAUUCUGCCUGAAACAAAACAUUGCUGACAUUGUUUGGAGUAAAUAAAUAAUUCUGGGAGCAAUUUUGUGAAAUGGAAUAAUUUCCUGGGCGGCACAGUGUAGAUGUGGUUAGCUUGGGUGGCGUGUGCAGGUUCUCCCAGUGCUUGCGUGGAUUUUCUCCGCGCUUGGACUGGACCAUCGCCAAAAAAAAAAAAUGAUAGUUGGCUACUCACACCCGCGCAGUUAGCGAUUUGAUCUAAGAACGCCCUGCGAUGUUAAACGACGAUCCACAUACAGUAUAUUGCGCUUUAUAACUUAAACCAUAAAAAGAGUAGCAGGAAAGAAGCAGACUGAAAUAUAAAGAUUCAUAAAUUUUGUCUUGCAGUACCACAGAUAUAAAGAGCCUGCAAAAGUUACGGGGGAAAAGAUGGAGUGUUACAAUAAUAAAGUUGGGUGAAUGAAAACAUUCCCACACCAAUGCAUAGACAACAGUCUGAGAGCAGAAGCUGCUGUCUCUUUAGAGACCUGCCACAUAUUGAUUGGGUAAUAUCCUUAAACAUAUAUUAUAUUAAAAAACAUAUGAUGAUGGAACCCAUCACUAAUUUUGAAAAAUCACAUUACAGUUUUCACACUGAUGAUGAUGAUGAU